rnacentral:rRNA from 2 species
UUAAAUUGAAGAGUUUGAUCAUGGCUCAGAUUGAACGCUGGCGGCAGGCCUAACACAUGCAAGUCGAACGGUAACAGGAAGCAGCUUGCUGCUUCGCUGACGAGUGGCGGACGGGUGAGUAAUGUCUGGGAAACUGCCUGAUGGAGGGGGAUAACUACUGGAAACGGUAGCUAAUACCGCAUAAUGUCGCAGGACCAAAGAGGGGGACCUUCGGGCCUCUUGCCAUCAGAUGUGCCCAGAUGGGAUUAGCUAGUUGGUGAGGUAACGGCUCACCAAGGCGACGAUCCCUAGCUGGUCUGAGAGGAUGACCAGCCACACUGGAACUGAGACACGGUCCAGACUCCUACGGGAGGCAGCAGUGGGGAAUAUUGCACAAUGGGCGCAAGCCUGAUGCAGCCAUGCCGCGUGUAUGAAGAAGGCCUUCGGGUUGUAAAGUACUUUCAGCGGGGAGGAAGGUGUUGUGGUUAAUAACCGCAGCAAUUGACGUUACCCGCAGAAGAAGCACCGGCUAACUCCGUGCCAGCAGCCGCGGUAAUACGGAGGGUGCAAGCGUUAAUCGGAAUUACUGGGCGUAAAGCGCACGCAGGCGGUCUGUCAAGUCGGAUGUGAAAUCCCCGGGCUCAACCUGGGAACUGCAUUCGAAACUGGCAGGCUUGAGUCUUGUAGAGGGGGGUAGAAUUCCAGGUGUAGCGGUGAAAUGCGUAGAGAUCUGGAGGAAUACCGGUGGCGAAGGCGGCCCCCUGGACAAAGACUGACGCUCAGGUGCGAAAGCGUGGGGAGCAAACAGGAUUAGAUACCCUGGUAGUCCACGCCGUAAACGAUGUCUACUUGGAGGUUGUGCCCUUGAGGCGUGGCUUCCGGAGCUAACGCGUUAAGUAGACCGCCUGGGGAGUACGGCCGCAAGGUUAAAACUCAAAUGAAUUGACGGGGGCCCGCACAAGCGGUGGAGCAUGUGGUUUAAUUCGAUGCAACGCGAAGAACCUUACCUGGUCUUGACAUCCACGGAAGUUUUCAGAGAUGAGAAUGUGCCUUCGGGAACCGUGAGACAGGUGCUGCAUGGCUGUCGUCAGCUCGUGUUGUGAAAUGUUGGGUUAAGUCCCGCAACGAGCGCAACCCUUAUCCUUUGUUGCCAGCGGUCCGGCCGGGAACUCAAAGGAGACUGCCAGUGAUAAACUGGAGGAAGGUGGGGAUGACGUCAAGUCAUCAUGGCCCUUACGACCAGGGCUACACACGUGCUACAAUGGCGCAUACAAAGAGAAGCGACCUCGCGAGAGCAAGCGGACCUCAUAAAGUGCGUCGUAGUCCGGACUGGAGUCUGCAACUCGACUCCAUGAAGUCGGAAUCGCUAGUAAUCGUGGAUCAGAAUGCCACGGUGAAUACGUUCCCGGGCCUUGUACACACCGCCCGUCACACCAUGGGAGUGGGUUGCAAAAGAAGUAGGUAGCUUAACCUUCGGGAGGGCGCUUACCACUUUGUGAUUCAUGACUGGGGUGAAGUCGUAACAAGGUAACCGUAGGGGAACCUGCGGUUGGAUCACCUCCUUACCUGAAAGAA